CGGCGGGGGGUUCCUCCUCGCAGUUGUCUUGGAAGGAUACAAGAAUGAUAACAGUGUUAUGGUACAGUGGCCCUGCAGUCCUUAUUCUGCAGAGAAGACUGGAGAGUCGUCUUCAGGAAGUUCUUGGUGGGCUUGUAGACCACAGUAUGGAGUGUGGGGAAAUGUGUGUGACUUCUUUGCUAUCAAGGAAACAUCUCUGACUUGAGCCGAUGGCACAAAUGAAGACAGGGAUGACCUGUCACUGUGAAGAGGCACCCUUCAACAGGCAGAAGGAAUGAUAACCAAAAAGGAUGUAUGACAACAUACAAAAAAAGCCCUCAGAAGGGGCUUUGUUUUCAUAACCUUUACACUGUUUUAAUUUGCAGAAUUCUUUUCUCCUUUUAACACACAUGAAAACAAAUAAAUAUAAUGAAAACAUUUUCUUUCUUUCUUUCUUAGAAAAUCAUAAAAAAGUGCUGUAAGGCCUUCAGGAGUAACCUCACCCAUUCAAGUCAAUGCUGCUGUCUGCUGCUAACUGUCAAGUUAAACUGCUCCUAACGUGUAUCUUCUCUGUUUGGCAGCCCAGAAUCAGAUUAACUAAUUGAUGCCAGUUCUUAACUUUAUAAUUGCAAAAUUCUUCUAGAACUGACAGCUGUACUUUUGCUCCUGGCAUAAGGAUAAAAAAAGACAUCUUCUAUAGAAGGUAGUCAGUCAGAAUUACAGGAAAGGGUAAUGUCAAAUUUCUUUUCUUGUUAGCAUUACCAGGUUUCAUAUAUGAAGGCUUCUAGAACCAAAGAAUUAGAGAUUUUAAGAAUAUAACUGAUUUCUAAACUUUUAUAUGCAACUACAUACAGAAAAAUAGUUUUUAAAAGGUAUUAAUUAUAAAUAAAAGAGGAGAUAAGAGUUAAAAAUAAUUAAAGGAAGAAUGUAAUGCAUUGUUAGAGAUACCACCAUUUGUUAUUACUCUGCUUGAAGCAACAUUAAAAUUCGACCCAAGACACAGUACUUGUAUACUGAAGAGCCUACUGAAGUUACACUGCUUUGUAAGUACAGAAUUGAGGCCUUCACUAUUUUCUGUCUGUGAAGUCAGAAUCUUGAGUACACAAGGAGAAGCUUACCACCCAAAUCAGUGCUGUCAGAAAAGCCUCUCUUUCAUGAAGGUCAAACAUCAACAUAGGAAAAUGAAUUUCUUGUUUCAGGAUGAUCGCGCAGCAGCAGAGCAGAUUUAUUUUGAAGAGAUAGCUUCCUAUUGUAUUUUCAUGGCAACUGCACCUCUGUGCCAAGAUGUACGCUUCUUCUGUAUUUGACUGUCAGCACAAUUAUAUUACUGUGUAGGUACGAUCUAGUAGCCUCAACUUUACUGAGUUUGCUCCCUUGCUGAUAGAAACAUCAUGUGUAUAAUUUCUUCUAUAAACUUAAAAAUUCCAUAUAAGCUUAGGACUUUAUUAUUAUUAUUCUCUUCCUGGCACCACUACGUCUACCAGAAAAUUCCCAGAAGUCUUCCUGCAUAAUAACCAAACUUCACUGAGCUUAACUUUGUCAUAUCAAUUUUUUCUGUGCUGAAAUUGUUUUCUGAUUUAAAAACAAUUUCCUUCUGUAGUGAAUAUCCCUCCGAUGGGAUAUAGACUCUGUACAUAAACAGAUCUCAGCCCUUGUUUUUCUAGCUACAUAAAGUAAUUUUUAUUGUUCUCUCAUAAAAGAUUUUUCAUUCCCUGAUCAUCCUUUCUUGUUUUUGUUUUCAUGAGUCUUUGUUGGAUAUAAGUAACUGGAAAGGUAUAGGAUAUUCCAUAUGGGGUCUCACUGGAUCCUUACAGUAACAUCAGCACUUCUACUGGAAUCAUUUCUUCUGACAUGCAGUUUUACAGAGGAAGUACACAGUAGCUCACAGUCACUUCACUGCUGGCCACUGCACCCCAACUCCCUUCCUCCUCAAUUUUCUCUUGAGGCAGAGUCCCCAGGUUUCCACGUUUCUUUUUCAUUGGAAGGAGAGGUGUUCUGUAUUUUUCUUUUUCAGAACUAUUCCAUUCUAUUGGAAUUCCAUUUCUCUCCUGAAAGUCAAACCAACCAGUACUUUCUGCAUAACAACCAUCCAACUCUGUGCCUUCCAAUUUUUGUUACACGACCCAUUCUUAUGUUAAGGUUGUUAAUGGUAACGUGAAACCAGAAUGUCCCCAAAUCAACUCCUGCAGAGCACUAUUAUCAAUCUCUUUUCAA